rnacentral:rRNA from 1 species
CCCUUGGCCUUGACAUACUAAGAACUUUCCAGAGAUGGAUUGGUGCCUUCGGGAACUUAGAUACAGGUGCUGCAUGGCUGUCGUCAGCUCGUGUCGUGAGAUGUUGGGUUAAGUCCGCAACGAGCGCAACCCUUUUCCUUAUUUGCCAGCGGGUCAUGCCGGGAACUUUAAGGAUACUGCCAGUGACAAACUGGAGGAAGGCGGGGACGACGUCAAGUCAUCAUGGCCCUUACGGCCAGGGCUACACACGUGCUACAAUGGUCGGUACAAAGGGUUGCUACCUCGCGAGAGAAUGUUAAUCUCAAAAAGCCGAUCGUAGUCCGGAUCGCAGUCUGCAACUCGACUGCGUGAAGUCGGAAUCGCUAGUAAUCGCGGAUCAGAAUGCCGCGGUGAAUACGUUCCCGGGCCUUGUACACACCGCCCGUCACACCAUGGGAGUUUGUUGCACCAGAAGUAGGUAGUCUAACCGCAAGGAGGACGCUUACCACGGUGUGGCCGAUGACUGGGGUGAAGUCGUAACAAGGUAAGCGUAGAUGA